UAGCCUAAUGGUCAAGGCUAUGGAUUGCCAAUCCGGAGACGGUGGGUUCGAUUCCCGU
rnacentral:tRNA from 1 species